rnacentral:piRNA from 1 species
UGGAAGGCAGAGAUUUUGCGAAGCUCUGGA